UGGGGAAUUUUGGACAAUGGGCGCAAGCCUGAUCCAGCAAUGCCGCGUGCGGGAAGAAGGCCUUCGGGUUGUAAACCGCUUUUGGCAGGAACGAAACGGUGUCCGCUAAUACCGGGCGCUAAUGACGGUACCUGCAGAAUAAGCACCGGCUAACUACGUGCCAGCAGCCGCGGUAAUACGUAGGGUGCGAGCGUUAAUCGGAAUUACUGGGCGUAAAGCGUGCGCAGGCGGUUGUGUAAGACAGGCGUGAAAUCCCCGGGCUCAACUGGGAAUGGCGCUUGUGACUGCACGGCUGGAGUGCGGCAGAGGGGGAUGGAACUCCGCGUGUAGCAGUGAAAUGCGUAGAUAUGCGGAGGAACACCGAUGGCGAAGGCAAUCCCCUGGGCCUGCACUGACGCUCAUGCACGAAAGCGUGGGGAGCAAACAGGAUUAGAUACCCUGGUAGUCCACGCCCUAAACGAUGUCGACUGGUUGUUAGGUCUUAGGUGACUCAGUAACGAAGCUAACGCGUGAAGUCGACCGCCUGGGGGAGUACGGCCGCAAGGUUGAAACUCAAAUGAAUUGACGGGGUCAUAGCUG
rnacentral:rRNA from 1 species